CCUACGGGAGGCAGCAGUGAGGAAUAUUGGUCAAUGGUCGCGAGCCUGAACCAGCCAAGUAGCGUGAAGGAAGACGGCCCUAUGGAUUGUAAACCUCUUUUAUCGGGGAAUAAAAUACGCCACGUGUGGCGUUUUGUGAGUACCCCAUGAAUAAGGAUCGGCUAACUCCGUGCCAGCAGCCGCGGUAAUACGGAGGAUCCGAGCGUUAUCCGGAUUUAUUGGGUUUAAAGGGAGCGUAGGCGGAAAGUUAAGUCAGCCGUGAAAUUGCGUGGCUCAACCUUUUCCGGGCGGUUGAAACUGGCUGUCUUGAGUGAGCGAGAGGUAUGCGGAAUGCGUGGUGUAGCGGUGAAAUGCUUAGAUAUCACGAAGAACUCCGAUUGCGAAGGCAGCAUACCGGCGCGCAACUGACGCUGAUGCUCGAAAGUGUGGGUAUCGAACAGGAUUAGAUACCCCUGUAGUC
rnacentral:rRNA from 1 species